GGUGUACUUAUCCUUUUUAUUUCACCCAUAGGAGCAGACUGUCAGGGAAUCAACACCAGUUACGAAGUUGCCCGGACAAUGUUACAGUGCUCAACAAAGGGCGAGACUGGACUUUUUGGCAGAUCAUACAAUUGUGAAAAACUACGUCUACGUGUCGUAACAAGGGGAUGCUGCUGUGUGGGUUUAAUUGAGAGGCUACGCGGUAUUUCUCAUGUAGAUAAGAAACAGUCUCUCAGAUUCCUCUGGAUCCACCCCCCUCCUGGAUCCCAGAUUCUCUCCAUCAUCUCCUCCAACCGUGAGGUCUAACCGGCAGGGCAGGGGCGUGUGGGCGGACAUGCUGGGUGCUGGCAGCAUGCUCCGUCUGCUUGCGAGUAAUGUGAGUACAGAGACGACCCCCUCCACCCCCCCUCCACCCCAAACACACACUCGCAUCACACACUCCUAGAAAGAGAUGGGCCAUAGAUGGAGAGGCAGGCGCUCCUGCUGUGACUUGGCGCACCCCACUGGACAGCUGGAGACUUGGGGAGAGGAGACACUUGCCAAACAUGCCUGACGGAGCAGGGGAGUGCUAGAGGUGAGAGGCUGGGCGAGGCCUGAGGUGGCUCCCAUACCUGCAGCUGAUCACCGGCCCAUCAUCUGUAAUUAUCUACACUUCUAUACCAGUGAGAUAAAAAGAGGGGUGGUGCACACACACACAUGACAACACACAUACACAUUUACACUCAUAUUAAUGAUCCACUUACCAAGCAGUGGAAACAGGCGAGUUUGGAUUGAAUGCACCUAAUUGUGUUCUUCUGAUGGGGCAGUUGUAUCUGCUCUAAUUGCUUUGAUUGAUAUUGUUGUACAGCAGUAAUAGGCUUAAUGUGCUCCUGCAUUGUUUCGCUAAUUCCAAUUAUAUCGUGUAACAACAACAAUUUACUCAAAUUGUGAACAGUAGUUAUUAGUGAAGCCCAUGCAGCAAUCUCUCUCUUGUCCUUUUGACUUAUAUUUAUGUAAGGCAAAUAAAAGCAAUGUUAACGUAUGGCUGAAACUAAUGCUUGGUGCUGUAUUUGCAAUGAAGAGGUUUUCAUAUUUUUUUUACUCAAUUUCGUUAACGUCAUUUUUGUUAAAUAAAUGCCACAAAAUAAAAAAAUGCCCAUAAUAAAAUGAC